CCCAUUUCUCCAAAUGAGGUGGCUUCAAUCCCUCUUCUCCCCAUUGAGGAAGCUCUGGUUUCGCCUGCACUCCACUCAAAAAAAGAGUAGAGGGAUAUACAUACUGUAUGAGGAUGUGAAGUCCUGCCAGUAUGAAGAUGUCCAGAUUCUAUGGUCCAUACUGGUGGAGUCCAAUGCACCAACCUUGCCAUCAAAGCAAUGAAGGCUGCUCUCAGCCAAUUCUACCAUGUACAUGUAAAUUAUAGGCCCUGUGUCUGUUUUAGAAGGUUUUGUUCUUGCCAUGUUGUGAAGGAAGUUGAGUUGCUUUGUCUAUUUUUGGGCAGUUGGGGUGGCAGUUGGCUCUUUUUCAAGUGUGUAAAGAACCCUUUUUGGGUUAUGUAAAUGCAUAAUUAUUACGGAAUUGAUGGGAGAACUUGAUGAUGUUUUUCGCUAGA